rnacentral:rRNA from 1 species
GAUGAACGCUGGCGGCGCGCCUAACACAUGCAAGUCGAACGGCACCCCUCCUCGGAGGGAAGCGAGUGGCGAACGGCUGAGUAACACGUGGAGAACCUGCCCCCUCCCCCGGGAUAGCCGCCCGAAAGGACGGGUAAUACCGGAUACCCCGGGGUGCCGCAUGGCACCCCGGCUAAAGCCCCGACGGGAGGGGAUGGCUCCGCGGCCCAUCAGGUAGACGGCGGGGUGACGGCCCACCGUGCCGACAACGGGUAGCCGGGUUGAGAGACCGACCGGCCAGAUGGGGACUGAGACACGGCCCAGACUCCUACGGGAGGCAGCAGUGGGGAAUCUUGCGCAAGGGGGGGAACCCUGACGCAGCGACGCCGCGUGCGGGACGGAGGCCUUCGGGUCGUAAACCGCUUUCAGCAGGGAAGAGUCAAGACUGUACCUGCAGAAGAAGCCCCGGCUAACUACGUG